rnacentral:tRNA from 1 species
GGGGAUGUAAUAUAGUUUGGUCAAGUAUACCAGGCUGGGGGUCUGGUUGCCGCGGUUCAAAUCCGCGCAUUCCCA